UAGUCCACGCCGUAAACGAUGAGUGCUAGACGUUGGGAAUUUACUUUUCAGUGUCGUAGUUAACGCAUUAAGCACUCCGCCUGGGGAGUACGGUCGCAAGAUUAAAACUCAAAGGAAUUGACGGGGCCCGCACAAGCGGUGGAGCAUGUGGUUUAAUUCGACGCAACGCGAAGAACCUUACCAGCUCUUGACAUUGCUAAGUCGCGAGUUUUAGAGAUAAAACUCUUCAGUUCGGCUGGACUUAGUACAGGUGCUGCAUGGCUGUCGUCAGCUCGUGUCGUGAGAUGUUGGGUUAAGUCCCGCAACGAGCGCAACCCUUGUCCUUAGUUGCCAUCAGUUCGGCUGGGCACUCUAGAGAAACUGCCUGGGGAUGACCAGGAGGAAGGCGAGGGAUGACGUCAAGUCCUCAUGGGCCCUUAUGGGGCUGGGGCUACACACGUGCUACAAUGGCGGUGACAAA
rnacentral:rRNA from 1 species